AUGCCAUUGAGAAGGCUGAUCAUACCAGAAAGGUUAAAUAAAAUUGGUAUGGAUGUAGCAGUUUCAAAAUGUUACAGUAAAGACAUGAAAUAUAAUUUGAACUUAAGAAAACAGCCAAAAGAUGGAACUCAUUUUUACUCUGCCGAGAGUCUUGGUCAAAUUUUAUCAAGACUUUGUGAUUCCAGCUUUGGAAAGAAUUGUAUACAGUACGUGGUCAAUAAAUCAAAUUGA
rnacentral:lncRNA from 1 species